UUAGACUAGCAAUGGCCAAAACACCUUAUUGUCGCAGUGGUCUGAAUUAUUUGCCUCACGAUAGUUGGUUGUGGGUUCAAUUCCUUUUCAACUCACCUUUUUGAACAAAUUUUACAAUUUUUUUUUCAUAUUCUAAUUCAUUAACGGGACGUGUUUCCUACAUAUAGUGACACGGAUCAUGUAAUCGCGUCACCAAUAAGCUCUACCAUUUGAA
rnacentral:lncRNA from 1 species